rnacentral:lncRNA from 1 species
UUUGAUUUAGAGUUUGAUCAAUCAAAGAUUUGAUUACACUAAGCUGUAUAGCUCUUUAUGUUACCUCAUUCACAUUUCCAAGGUGUCCAAUUCUGAAAACCUUUCCUGCCACUUUGUUGAGACCAAGACCAAGACUUAGGUUGUACCUCUGCCAUGCCCUUCUCACUACCUCUGAGCCGUCUAUAUUUGGGGGCACCAUUACUGCUGUCACAGUGUUACUUAUCCACUCCUCCUUCUGUGUGCAGUUCUUCAGCCCCCAUGCUUCUACCGCCAGCCUAUGUACAUGACCAUAUUAACAAUCAAACUCUAGUUAUAAUGUUAUCAAGACUUUGUACUAUCAAGACUCUAAGAGAAUUAAACUAUUUAAGACUACGAAUUCGAUUACUCGCAUAGGAAGAUGAAAUGUUUUAUGGAUCAAAAUCGCGUUACAUAGCUAAAUUUUACCUAGUGGCCUUUCCGAGACGAGCAUGACGAGCGAUUAUAUUCUCAAGUCCUUCCUCGAAGAUAAGAUCAAGAGCGGCUCUGAGACCGUAGAGGAGUUGAAUGGAAGGUGUGUAAGGCCAAUAGGUUCCAAGCUUGUAAAACUUGAGGUAGUCAUUCCAAUCAAAGAAUACUUUGAGGGAUUUAGAGGUUUUUGUAGCUUCCAAGGCUUUAGGACUGGCACACACAAUACCAAGUCCUGUUGGUAGAGAUAAGGCUUUCUGGGAGCCGGUCAAGGCAACAUCCACUCCCCACUCAUCCAUUCGGAAAUCAAGCGCACAAAUGGACGAGACACCGUCCACAAGCAGCAAGGCCGGGUGCUUGUAGUGAUCUGUUUUAUACACUUGUGUUAGUGAGAUUUAAAACAGAGGAAACACACAAAAAUACAAGGAGAUGAUUAGUGAGGAGUUAAUAACCAAGGAGGGUUCGGACAGCAGAGAUGUCAUUGGUGACUCCAGUAGCUGUCUCAUUGUGGACAAUGCAAAUGGCUUUGAUGGAAUGACUCGCAUCUUCAGAGAGCUUCGAGGCCAACACUUGGAGAUUAGCACCUUGUCCCCAAUCACUCUCAACCACAUCAACAUUGAAAUUUAGCCUCUUCUGCUGGUCAAUCCAGAGCAAGCUAAACUGUCCAAUCAGAAACGAGACGAUCCUGUCUCCAG